rnacentral:lncRNA from 1 species
AUAAAUUGUUAUAAUAUACUGCAGUUUUGUGUAGCGUCAUGAAUGCAGGUUGCGUUUCCUGAAAGGGGUUUUAUAUUGCAUUUGAGGUCCUUAUAGAUAUUUUAAAGUAAAACAAAAUACACCUUUUGGUUCACAUUUUAAUUUUGAUAAUAAAAAGAGUAGGGAAUCAAUAAUGUCCAGGCAAUAGUGAACUGUAUUUAGUGACAAUUAUUUGUCAUGUCAGGGGAAGUCUGCAAUCAGUAGCUCAUUUGGACUUGGCUGAGAGGGCCAUGGUAUUGCUUUAAGUCCUUUCCUGUAUUUAUCAAUAUCGGCUGUGUUAGGGCUCCUUCCUGCACCUCCAUCCUCCAUAGGAUCACAUCCCUGCAGCCUACAGAGAAAAUAAAAUCAUACCAGAAGGAAAAUUAUGAAAACCAAGUACUGCUGUGGCUGUGAACAGAUCCACUCAACCUCCAACAGUGAGAAUGAGUUACUUAUGAUCUAAAGAUUUCAUUUCUCAGGAUACUGUGUUCUCUA